CCUANGGGAGGCAGCAGUGGGGAAUCUUGCACAAUGGAGGAAACUCUGAUGCAGCGACGCCGCGUGAACGAUGAAGCCCUUCGGGGUGUAAAGUUCUUUCGCCAGGAACGAUAAUGACGGUACCUGGAGAAGAAGCUGCGGCUAACUACGUGCCAGCAGCCGCGGUAAUACGUAGGCAGCAAGCGUUGUUCGGAAUUAUUGGGCGUAAAGAGUAUGUAGGUGGUGUCGUAAGUUUGGUGUGAAAUCUCCCGGCUUAACUGGGAGGGUGCGCCGAAGACUGCGAUGCUUGAGUAUGGGAGAGGGAAUCGGAAUUCCUGGUGUAGCGGUGAAAUGCGUAGAUAUCAGGAGGAACACCUGUGGUGUAGACGGGUUCCUAGACCAUUACUGACACUGAGAUACGAAAGCGUGGGUAGCAAACAGGAUUAGAUACCCUGNUANUC
rnacentral:rRNA from 1 species